rnacentral:rRNA from 1 species
CUGCAUUGCCUCAGUACGGCGAGUGAAGCGGCAAAAGCUCAAAUUUGAAAUCUAGGCACUUUCAGGUGUCCGAGUUGUAAUUUGAAGAAGGUAACUUUGGUUUUGGCUCUUGUCUAUGUUCCUUGGAACAGGACGUCACAGAGGGUGAGAAUCCCGUGCGAUGAGAUGCCCAAUUCCAUGUAAAGUGCUUUCGAAGAGUCGAGUUGUUUGGGAAU